rnacentral:tRNA from 1 species
AUCAGAAAAGUCUGUUUAUGAUAUAGGGCCUAUGACUCUGUGGCGGUGAAAAGCACCUUCUGUUA